AACACUGUUAACCUGCGGUACCUGCGGAGGGAUCAUUAUUGAAUAAACUUGGUUAGGUUGUUUGCUGGCUCUUAGGAGCAUGUGCACGCCUAUUCCAUCUUUAAACCCCUGUGCACCUUUUGUAGUUCUGAAGAACGUUCGAAGACGUGAAUGUCCUCGGUCAGAGAACUGCUGCGUCGAAAGGCCAGCUUUUCUUGUAGUUCAGAUCUACGUCUUCUACACACCCUUUAAAAAUGUACU
rnacentral:misc_RNA from 1 species